rnacentral:rRNA from 1 species
GAUAAACGCUAGCGGCAGGCUUAACACGUGCAAGUCGAGGGGCAGCAUAGAUUGUAGCAAUACAAUUGGUGGCGACCGGCGCACGGGUGCGUAACGCGUAUGCAACCUACCCGUCACAGGGGGAUAAUCCGGAGAAAUCUGGUCUAAUACCCCAUAACAUAUGGAUCGGCAUCGGUUCAUGUUGAAAUUUUCGGAGGUGACGGAUGGGCAUGCGUAGCAUUAGCUUGUUGGUGAGGUAACGGCUCACCAAGGCGACGAUGCUUAGGGGGACUGAGAGGUUUUACACCCACACUGGUACUGAGACACGGACCAGACUCCUACGGGAGGCAGCAGUGAGGAAUAUUGGUCAAUGGGCGCAAGCCUGAACCAGCCAUGCCGCGUGCAGGAUGACGGCUCUAUGAGUUGUAAACUGCUUUUGUACGAGGGUAAAGUGGGUUACGUGUAACCUUUUGAAAGUAUCGUACGAAUAAGGAUCGGCUAACUCCGUGCCAGCAGCCGCCGUAA